AGCCUUUAGCCCCACUACAAUUAAAGGUACCGCCUGCCCAAUGAGGCCCCCCCCUUAAAUGGCCGCGUAUAUAACCGUGCAAAGGUAGCAAAAUCAUUCGUCCCACAAAUAGGGACCCGUAUGAACGGCAACAUGAGAGAGGAACUGUCUCUUUAGGCCGGCCAAUGAACUUGACCUCCCUGUACAAAUGCAGGGAUACAAAAACAAGACAAAAAGACCCUGUGAAACUUCAAAUGUCCGCCAACCCAAUGUCCGGAACACUUUAGGUUGGGGCAACCUAAGAGAAACAAAAACCUCACCAUCAAUCGCACGGCAGACAGGCCAACCGAUCGCACCAACUAGACCCAGUACUACUGACUAAAGAACCAAGCUACUCCAGGGAUAACAGCGCCACAUUCUUGAAGAGUCCGUAUCGACAAGAAUACCUACGACCUCGAUGUUGGAUUAGGGCAUCCUAAUGGCGCAAAAGCUAUUAAGGGUUCGUUUGUUCAACGAUUAAAGCCCC
rnacentral:rRNA from 1 species